GCAUCACUGACGAGUCUCAAACAGGACGAAACAACUGUCCAGUGC
rnacentral:hammerhead_ribozyme from 1 species